rnacentral:lncRNA from 14 species
AGCAGUACUUUUAAGGUGUGAGGUACUUUGAGCAUAGUGUUUCUCAGUUCCUGUGUCCUGUGCUCUGUUUCAGAUAUGAAUGAAUGAUGGCCAUCCAGUGACCAGCUGAGACUGACGCCUUACAAGAUGCAUGUGUAUGAUUAAGAGAGAUACAUGCAUGACUCCUGGAUUUACCUCCUUCCUGUCCCACAGAGUUACUGAAGGGAGUGAGUUAUGGAGUAACUUAUAACACGGCAGGCUUUUCCUCAAGAUAGCCCUUGUCAAAACAGGAAGAUGAAACUCAUGUUUCAACGAAGAGACCUCAGUUUGGGGUCCUGUCUGGAUGUACCUCUUAAUUACAAGCAGAAACGCCUUCAUACUUUUCCAUUUCUAACCAUCACAUCCCCAAAGGAGGCAUCUGCUGAGAGGUUAGAAAUAUCAAGUUCACCUUUCACUUCGGCAUGCCCCAACAUUUGACAGCCACUUCUUGGAUGAGAGUUGAGCGUGCGAAGAGGAACCGGGAAGAGAGAGCUCCAAGCUCUCACUUCUCUCCCAUGUGCCCCAGGGUGACUGCAACAGCUCCAUAAAUUACUGCUGCCCUUUUGAACUGACCUCCAGGUUCAGGAGAUGUAAAUAUUGAUGGCCUUGACACAGCCACCCCAACCCUGGUAUGCACUCUGCUCGGGAGAUGAAAUCUCUUCAGCUAACUGAAAGCAGGUGGGCUAGCGGAUCAACUGCUCUGGAUUCUCCACCAUCCAUAAUUCUGAGCCAACUACCCCAGUCCUGUCUCCCUUGGCACAAGGCAAGGGCUCUCCAGGUGCGUAUCCUCUCAUUUCUUUAGACACAUUUUUGUUUGUUAGACUCCUGUGAGUUUAGACCUUAAUAACUUGGCUCCUAGGACACAUGAUAUGUAAGGGACAACUUCUAUAUAUCUGCAAAAUUUGAAACCAGGCAAGCCAACACUAGCACCGGCAUGACGCUGUAGAAUAGUUCAGGCCUUGCUUCAGCCUCUUUCUAGCAGUGCAUUCUUUUUUUAAAUUUAAAAAAAAUUUUUUUUAUUUAAAAUUAUUUAUUUGAUGUAUGUGAGUACACUGCAGCUGUCUUCGGACACACCAGAAGAGGGCAUUGGAUCCCAUUACAGAUGGUUGCGAGCCACCAUGUGGUUGCUGGGAAUUGAACUCAGGACCUCUGGAAGAGCAGUCAGUGCUCUUAACCACUGAGCCAUCUCUCCAGCCCCCUAGCAGUGCAUUCUUAGGCAAAUAUUAUCUUAGGAAAUCUCUAUCUCAAUUUCAUUAAUUAUAAACUUAAAAUCACAAUACUUUCCUUGCCCUAUUGUUCUUGUUGUUGUCAUCAUCAUCAUUAUCAUUAUCAUCAUCAAUUUCUGAGUAAAAGAAAGUCUCAUGUGACCCAGGCUGGCCUACAGGCUUGUAUAGUUAAGGAUGACCUUGUACUCCUGAUCCUCUACCUUGGAAGUGAGAGCUAGGAUUUCAGGUGUGCACCACCAAGUGUAAAUCCUUUGCACUUGAAAAUUUUUACUUAACUAGUUUUUUUAUUUGUGUGUGCAUGCAUAUAUCCUAGCUUUCGAGAUAGGUCCAGAGAGGUCAGAGGGUAAUUGGGAGAGUCAGUUCUGUUCUCCCACCUCAGGUUCUAGGAAUUAAAAGUCCUACUCAGCAAGAGCCUUUACCAACCAGGCUGGCCUCCUUUUCCUUGUCUUUGAAAGAAUUAAAGAGGAGUCAUCCACCGUAGUAAAUAUUUCUUCAAUAAGCAUUAAUCUUUCGGGGCUCCUGUGUCCAUGAGAGUAAUCACAAAAGUGAUAAUGACCACAGCCUAGGACUAUCCUCAGUGGAUGGACCCAAAGCCUUGGAGCAGAUGUUCAUUACAUAGAAACUCUGUUGGCAUGGGGGUGGGUG